AUUGAACGCUGGCGGCAGGCCUAACACAUGCAAGUCGGACGGUAGCACAGAGGAGCUUGCUCCUCGGGUGACGAGUGGCGGACGGGUGAGUAAUGUCUGGGGAUCUGCCCGAUAGAGGGGGAUAACCACUGGAAACGGUGGCUAAUACCGCAUAACGUCGCAAGACCAAAGAGGGGGACCUUCGGGCCUCUCACUAUCGGAUGAACCCAGAUGGGAUUAGCUAGUAGGCGGGGUAACGGCCCACCUAGGCGACGAUCCCUAGCUGGUCUGAGAGGAUGACCAGCCACACUGGAACUGAGACACGGUCCAGACUCCUACGGGAGGCAGCAGUGGGGAAUAUUGCACAAUGGGCGCAAGCCUGAUGCAGCCAUGCCGCGUGUAUGAAGAAGGCCUUCGGGUUGUAAAGUACUUUCAGCGGGGAGGAAGGCGAUGUGGUUAAUAACCGCAUUGAUUGACGUUACCCGCAGAAGAAGCACCGGCUAACUCCGUGCCAGCCGCCGCAGUAA
rnacentral:rRNA from 1 species